rnacentral:tRNA from 1 species
AGUCGCGUAGCUCAGUUGGUUAGAGCACCACCUUGACAUGGUGGGGGUCGGUGGUUCAAAUCCACUCGCGACUACCA